rnacentral:rRNA from 1 species
CCAGACUCCUACGGGAGGCAGCAGUGGGGGAUAUUGCGCAAUGGGGGAAACCCUGAUGCAGCGACGCCGCGUGAGUGAAGAAGUAAUUCGUUACGUAAAGCUCUAUCAGCAGGGAAGAAAAUGACGGUACCUGACUAAGAAGCCCCGGCUAACUACGUGCCAGCAGCCGCGGUAAUACGUAGGGGGCAAGCGUUAUCCGGAAUUACUGGGUGUAAAGGGAGCGUAGACGGUUGUACAAGUCUGAUGUGAAAGCCCACGGCUCAACUGUGGGAGUGCAUUGGAAACUGUAGAACUAGAGUAUCGGAGAGGCAAGUGGAAUUCCUAGUGUAGCGGUGAAAUGCGUAGAUAUCAGGAGGAACACCGGUGGCGAAGGCGGCCUGCUGGACUGCGACUGACGUUGAGGCCCGAAAGCGUGGGGAGCAAACAGGAUUAGAUACCCGCGUAGU